rnacentral:rRNA from 1 species
GAGUUUGAUCAUGGCUCAGAUUGAACGCUGGCGGCAGGCCUAACACAUGCAAGUCGAGCGGUAGAGAGAAGCUUGCUUCUCUUGAGGAGCGGCGGACGGGUGAGUAAUGCCUAGGAAUCUGCCUGGUAGUGGGGGAUAACGCUCGGAAACGGACGCUAAUACCGCAUACGUCCUACGGGAGAAAGCAGGGGACCUUCGGGCCUUGCGCUAUCAGAUGAGCCUAGGUCGGAUUAGCUAGUUGGUGAGGUAAUGGCUCACCAAGGCGACGAUCCGUAACUGGUCUGAGAGGAUGAUCAGUCACACUGGAACUGAGACACGGUCCAGACUCCUACGGGAGGCAGCAGUGGGGAAUAUUGGACAAUGGGCGAAAGCCUGAUCCAGCCAUGCCGCGUGUGUGAAGAAGGUCUUCGGAUUGUAAAGCACUUUAAGUUGGGAGAAGGGCAGUAAUUAAUACUUGCUGUUUGACGUUACGACAGAAUAAGCACCGGCUAACUCUGU